CAAUAGCGUAUAUUAAAGUUGUUGCAGUUAAAAAGCUCGUAGUUGGAUUUCGGGUGGGAAUGGCCGGUCCGCCGUUUCGGUGUGCACUUGCUACGCCCACCUUGCUGCCGGGGACGUGCUCUUGAGUUCACGCUCGGGACACGGAGUCGGCGAGGUUACUUUGAGUAAAUUAGAGUGUUCAAAGCAGGCCUACGCUCUGAAUACAUUAGCAUGGAAUAACACGAUAGGACUCUGGCCUAUCUUGUUGGUCUGUAGGACCGGAGUAAUGAUUAAGAGGGACAGUCGGGGGCAUUCGUAUUUCAUUGUCAGAGGUGAAAUUCUUGGAUUUAUGAAAGACGAACUACUGCGAAAGCAUUUACCAAGGAUGUUUUCAUUAA
rnacentral:rRNA from 1 species